AACAUUUGUGUCGAUGAGAUACGCGAUAACAAUCUACUCGUGUUCGUGUACACGCGUGUGGUGGUAAUUUUUUUUCAACCACCGAAAUAUUAUAUUAUUUUAACCCACUGCACGUUAUUUUCAAACAGACUCUCGUUAGACCGAACGAAUACGGUUUUUCGUUGCUCUACUUUAUUUGUUUUGUUGUUUCCAAGGCCGCUCAUCAAAAUACUACAUCGUCGACAAUAUAUAAUAAUAUAUAGAGGUGUUUUUAUUUAUACGCUCAUUGCACAUUGAAAACAAUAACCGAGCAUAAUAUCGUACCUCGUUAUAUUCAGCAGUAAGAAAUUCGCAAACGCUUUCCGAUACGCGACGACGACGAUGACUACGUAUUGCGGUACCGAAAGGGGUGGGAGAGAAGGAGG